rnacentral:rRNA from 1 species
GACGAACGCUGGCGGCGUGCUUAACACAUGCAAGUCGAACGGAAAGGCCCUGCUUUUGUGGGGUGCUCGAGUGGCGAACGGGUGAGUAACACGUGAGUAACCUGCCCUUGACUUUGGGAUAACUUCAGGAAACUGGGGCUAAUACCGGAUAGGAGCUCCUGCUGCAUGGUGGGGGUUGGAAAGUUUCGGCGGUUGGGGAUGGACUCGCGGCUUAUCAGCUUGUUGGUGGGGUAGUGGCUUACCAAGGCUUUGACGGGUAGCCGGCCUGAGAGGGUGACCGGCCACAUUGGGACUGAGGUACGGCCCAGACGCCUACGGGAGGCAGCAGUGGGGAAUAUUGCGCAAUGGGCGGAAGCCUGAUGCAGCAACGCCGCGUGCGGGAUGACGGCCUUCGGGUUGUAAACCGCUUUCGCCUGUGACGAAGCGUUAGUGACGGUAAUGGGUAAAGAAGCACCGGCUAACUACGUG